rnacentral:rRNA from 1 species
AGAGUUUGAUCCUGGCUCAGGACGAACGCUGGCGGCGUGGAUUAGGCAUGCAAGUCGAGCGGCAAGGAACCUUCGGGAACCCUAGAGCGGCGAACGGGUGAGUAACACGUGAACAACCUGUCCUCACGUUCCGAAUAAUUGGGAGAAAUCCCUUGUAAUGCGGGCGAGGAUUUAGAUGAGGCAUCUCAUUUAACGGGAACGCGCAAGCGGCGCGAGGAGGGGUUCGCGGUCUAUCAGCUUGUUGGUGGGGUAACGGCCUACCAAGGCGACGACGGAUAGCUGGUCUGAGAGGAUGGUCAGCCACAUUGGAACUGAGAUACUGUCCAGACUCCUACGGGAGGCUGCAGUCGAGAAUCUUGGGCAAUGCACGAAAGUGUGACCCAGCGACGCCGCGUGAUGGAUGAAGGCCCUCUGGGUCGUAAACAUCUUUUAUGGGGAAAGAAUAAAUGACGGUACCCCAUGAAUAAGCCACGGCUAACUACGUGCCAGCAGCCGCGGUAAUACGUAGGUGGCAAGCGUUGUCCGGAUUUACUGGGCGUAAAGGGUAUGCAGGCGGAUACUUAAGUAGGAAGUGAAAGGUUGGAGCUCAACUCCAACACUGCUUCCUAUACUGGGUGUCUUGAGUGGCGGAGAGGAAGAUGGAACAAAUCGUGUAGCGGUGAAAUGCGUAGAUAUGAUUUGGAACACCAAUGGCGAAAGCAAUCUUCUGGACGCAAACUGACGCUGAGAUACGAAAGCUAUGGUAGCGAACAGGAUUAGAUACCCCGGUAGUCC